GGGGCCAUGGUGUAGCUUGGUCUAGCAUCGGGGCUUUGGGAGCCUCAGACUUGGGUUCAAAGUGACCCUUUUCAGAAAAGCGUCAACGGAAAACGCCCGAAGAGUGUCAUGAAAGUCCCAAUGGCCCCA
rnacentral:tRNA from 1 species